rnacentral:tRNA from 1 species
CGCCCGGGGCGGCCUCGUGUUCCGAGGCCACGGGUGCCGCGGGCACCCGGGGACGGACGGCCGUGACCGGCCCGGCCGGAUCGGGCCCGGCCGGGGCGA